GACAGAGGGUGCUAGCGUUGUUCGGAAUGACUGGGCGUAAAGGGCGCGUAGGCGGGAAUAUUAGUCAAGCGUGAAAGCCCCAGGCUUAACCUGGGAACAGCGCAUGAAACGGUAUACCUAGAGGACGAGAGGAGGGAAGCGGAAUUCCUAGUGUAGAGGUGAAAUUCGUAGAUAUUAGGAGGAACACCGGAGGCGAAGGCGGCUUUCUGGCUCGUAACUGACGCUGAGGCGCGGAAAGCGUGGGGAGCAAACAGG
rnacentral:rRNA from 1 species